GAUGAACGCUAGCGGGAGGCCUAACACAUGCAAGCCGAGCGGUAGAGUCUCUUCGGAGACUUGAGAGCGGCGCACGGGUGCGGAACACGUGUGCAACCUGCCUUUAUCUGGGGGAUAGCCUUUCGAAGGGAAGAUUAAUACCCCAUAAUAUACUGGAUGGCAUCAUCUGGUAUUGAAAACUCCGGUGGAUAGAGAUGGGCACGCGCAAGAUUAGAUAGUUGGCGAGGUAACGGCUCACCAAGUCAGCGAUCUUUAGGGGGCCUGAGAGGGUGAUCCCCCACACUGGUACUGAGACACGGACCAGACUCCUACGGGAGGCAGCAGUGAGGAAUAUUGGACAAUGGGUGAGAGCCUGAUCCAGCCAUCCCGCGUGAAGGACGACGGCCCUAUGGGUUGUAAACUUCUUUUGUAUAGGGAUAAACCUAGAUACGUGUAUCUAGCUGAAGGUACUAUACGAAUAAGCACCGGCUAACUCCGUG
rnacentral:rRNA from 1 species